AUAAUGAGCUGUCAGAAAUGUCAGUGUGAAAAUAUUAGUGUCAGUGUUCACAGUGAACUGCGGGAGGCUCUCAGUGACCAUUAUUUUAAAAACUUUACAAAAGUGUAAGAGACAACUGAAAGCAACAUGGCGUCAAGCCGGUGGUCUGCGAAAGAGACCCGGGAUUUCGUUAAUCAUCUGAGAGAUGUUGACCGGAACAUCAUCGGAAAGGAAGACAUUCAAAACAUCUCAUUAAAAAUGAAUGCACUUGGGUACAGGAGAAACGCUGAAAAAUACUUCACAAAAUAUUGUGAUAUGAAAAGAAAUCACCCAAAUCCUGACGUAUGUAAAGUUAUAAAUGGCAUUGUUGCCAAAGAAAGAGCAUUCAAGGAGAGCAAAAUGAGGUCUGGAUUAGAUAGUGAUGAUGAUGAUGAUCAUGGUUCAGGUGAGGCUCACG